AUGAAAUUAAAAUUAUUAAAUAUAAUUUUAUCAAUAAUAAAUAAACUUAAUAAUAAUAAUAAUAUUAUUAUUAAUAAUCUAUUAGAUUCAUUAAUAAAUAAGAAAUUAUUAUUAAAGAAUAUAUUAUUAGAUAUAAAUAAUAAAAAAAUAAAUAAUAUAAAAAGAAUAUUAAAUAAUAAUAAUAUAAAUAUUAAUAAUAAAUUACAACAUUUAAAUAAUAUAAAUAAUUGAAAUCUACAAAUUUAUAAUUAUAAUAAAAAUAUAGAAAUUAUAAAUACUAUAAAUGAUAAAUUAAUUAAUAAAUUAUUAUAUAAAAUAAUAACUUUAAAAUUAAAUAAUAUAAAUAUUAAUAAAAUUAUUAUAAGUAAACUUAUUAAUCAACAUAGUUUAAAUAAAUUAAAUAUUAAAUUUUAUUAUUAUAAUAAUGAUAUUAAUAAUAAUAAUAAUAAUAAUAAUAAUAAUUAUUAUAUAAAUAUAAUAAAUAAAUUAAUAAAUAUUAUAAAUAAUAAUAUAAAUAAUAAUUUAUGUAAUAUUUUAAGUUAUUAUUAUAAUAAAAAAGUAACUAUUGAACCUAUUAAAUUAUCAUAUAUUUAUUUAAAUAGUGAUAUUUUUAGUAAAUAUAUUAGUUUAAAUGAUAUAGAUAAAUAUAAUAAUGGUAUCUUAACUAAUUAUCAACGUAUAUUAAAUAAUAUUAUGCCUAAAUUAAAUGAUCAUAAUAUUUCUAUAAAUUAUAUUAAUAAUAUUAAUAAUAUUAAUAAUAAUAAAUAUAAUAAUAUAAUUAAUUUAUUAAAUAAUAAUAAUAAUAAUAAUAAUAAUAUUAAUAAUAAUAAUAAUUAUAAUAAUUAUAAUAAUAAUUAUAUUGGUAAUAUUAAUAAUAUUUAUAAUAAUAUAACUAUUGAUAAUAUUCCUAUAGAUAUUUUAAUAUAUAAAUAUUUAGUUGGUUGAUCUAUUAAAUUUAAAGGUAGAUUAAGUAAUAAUAAUGGUAGAACUAGUACACUUAAUUUAUUAAAUGGUACUUUUAAUAAUAAAAAAUAUUUAUGAAGUAAUAUUAAUAAUAAUUAUAAAUUAAAUUAUAUCCCUUCUAAUCAUAAUUUAUAUAAUAAUUCUAAUAUUAAUAAAAAUGGUAAAUAUAAUAUUAAAGUUAAAUUAAACUUUAUUUAA
rnacentral:rRNA from 1 species